rnacentral:lncRNA from 1 species
UCAUGAUCGACACGUACCGGCUGAACCCGCAGGAGUACCUGACCUCCACCGCCUGCCGCCGCAACCUGGCCGGCGACGUCUGCGCCAUCAUGCGGUGGGUGCCUCGGCGGCCCCGGGGGGCGGCUGGUGGCGGGGCGGGGGGGGCACGGGCAGCUCUGAGCCCCAACUCUCCGCAGGGUUCACGCCUUCCUGGAGCAGUGGGGCCUCAUCAACUACCAGGUGGACGCCGAGAGCCGUCCCACCCCCAUGGGCCCCCCACCCACCUCCCACUUCCACGUCCUGGCCGAUACGCCCUCGGGGCUGGUGCCGCUGCAGCCCAAGACCCCCCAGGGCCGGCAGAGUGACGGCGACGCCAAGACGGGCCGCAAGAGCAAAGAGAUCGAAGAGCUCGUCAGCGAGACGGUGAAGGGGAAGCCGGAGCUGGUAGGCGGCUCCUUGGGGUCCGUCCCCCCGCCGCUGGCCGAGGAAGGCUCCUUCCCUCCUCCCCCUCGCGCCCCGCAUGCCGCCCUGCCCCGGGGAGCAGGGACGCGGGGGGGACGCCGUGACGAGAUGGGGCACGAAGGCUUCUCGUGGGGGGGUUGGUUGGGGACCGGCGUCCAGGCGGCCCGUCCCCCCCCGCCGUGUCCCCAGCGCCCCCUCUCCUCCCCCGGCAGCAGACCUCGGCCUCGCAGCAGAUGCUGAACUUCCCCGACAAGAGCAAGGAGAAGCCGGCCGACAUGCAGAACUUCGGCCUCCGCACCGACAUGUACACCAAGAAGAACGUUCCCUCCAAGGUGGGGCCCCCCCCGUCCCUGUCCCCGUCCCCCCGCCCGCCACCGCUCACCCCUUCCCCCCCCUGCAGAGCAAAGCCGCCGCCAGCGCCACGCGGGAGUGGACGGAGCAGGAGACGCUGCUGCUGCUGGAGGUGAGGGGGGACCCGCGGGACGUGGGGGGGGGACCGCGGCCACCGGACCCCGCUGACGCCCCCGAGCUCCGUCCCGCAGGCCCUGGAGAUGUACAAGGACGACUGGAACAAGGUGUCGGAGCACGUGGGCAGCCGGACGCAGGACGAGUGCAUCCUGCACUUCCUGCGCCUGCCCAUCGAGGACCCGUACCUGGAGGACUCGGAGGCCUCGCUGGGGCCGCUGGCCUACCAGCCCAUCCCCUUCAGCCAGUCGGGCAACCCCGUCAUGAGCACCGUCGCCUUCCUGGCCUCCGUCGUCGACCCCCGCGUCGCCUCCGCCGCCGCCAAGUCGGCUCUGGAGGAGUUCUCCAAGAUGAAGGAGGAGGUGCCCACGGCCUUGGUGGAGGCCCACGUCCGCAAAGUGGAGGAGGCGGCCAAGGUGACGGGCAAGGCCGACCCCGCGUUCGGGCUGGAGAGCAGCGGCAUCGCCGGCACCACCUCGGACGAGCCGGAGCGGAUGGGUGAGGCGGCCGCCCGCGGGUGCGAUGAGUUUGCCGGGCCUGCGGCGGGCAGCGGCGGGGCCUGAGCCUGCGUUUGCGUCCCCAGAGGAGAGCGGCGCCGAGGAGGCGCGGGCGGAGGCGCAGCCGGCCGAGGAGAAGAAGGAGGCGAAGGUAGAGGCCGGCCCGGGGAGGGGGCGCGGGGGGGACCCAGGGAGGGCGGCUGGUGCGGGGACUCGAGCGGCCGCGGGGUCGGUGCCUCCCCAGGAGCCCCGGGACGGCGCCACCGAGGAGGAGGCGAAGGAGAAGCCCGGGGAGGCUCCCAAGAAGGAGGAGGAGAGGGGGAAGGAGGCGGAGGGCGAGAAGGAGCCCGACAAGGGCGAUGGCGAGGGUGCGGGUGAGUGGGGCCCGGCCGGCUGCGGGGGGACGCUGAGCCCUGCCCCGCCGACACGGUUCUCCCCGUCCCUGCCGCAGGGGAGCCGGACAAGGAGAAGGAGGCAAAGGAGGGGCCGGACGAGGCGCCCAAGGAGCUGCCGGAGCCCGAGGCCGAGCGCAAGGCCAAGGUGGAGCGGGACAUCGGCGAGGGGAACCUCUCCACCGCCGCCGCCGCCGCCCUGGCCGCUGCCGCCGUGAAGGCCAAGGUGAGGGGUNGGCGGCGGUGGAGGAGCGUAAGAUCAAGUCGCUGGUGGCGUUGCUGGUGGAGACGCAGAUGAAGAAGCUGGAGAUCAAACUGCGGCACUUCGAGGAGCUGGAGACCAUCAUGGACCGGGAGCGCGAGGCCGUGAGUGACCGUGGGGGCGCGGGGGCCCCGUACCCGCUCCAGCACCCCCGCGCUGACCCCCCUUUGCCCCCCCCCAGCUGGAAUACCAGCGGCAGCAGCUGCUGGCGGACCGUCAGGCCUUCCACAUGGAGCAGCUGAAGUACGCGGAGAUGCGCGCGCGCCAGCAGCACUUCCAGCACCUGC